rnacentral:snoRNA from 2 species
UCCCUCUCAAGAUCAUACCUGGAGAGUUUCCAGUAGUCUACCAGUCUUGGCUAUGGGAAGGAGAGUCAAGCAGAGGUAUACCCAUUCUAUUUCUAGCUUGGGCAGUGGCUAGCGAGUGGAAGGCAAUCUGCUACUUGU